rnacentral:rRNA from 1 species
CGUCUAUAUACGUAUAGCAUAUCAAUAAGCGGAGGAAAAGAAACUAACAAGGAUUCCCUUAGUAACGGCGAGUGAAGCGGGAAGAGCUCAAAUUUGAAAUCUUCAAGGUUCUACCUUGACGAAUUGUAGUUUAAAGAAGUGUUUUCUGUUGGAGUUUUGGUAAAAGUUCUUUGGAAUAGGACAUCAUAGAGGGUGAGAAUCCCGUAUUUGACCAUUAUUUCCAGCUUUGUGAUACACUUUCAAAGAGUCGGAUUGUUUGGGAAUGCAGUCCAAAAUGGGUGGUAAAUUUCAUCUAAAGCUAAAUACUGGCGAGAGACCGAUAGCGAACAAGUACCGUGAGGGAAAGAUGAAAAGAACUUUGAAAAGAGAGUUAAACAGUACGUGAAAUUGUCAAAAGGGAAGCGUUUGACACCAGUGUUGUUUUCUCGAAAAUCAAUUAAUGAUGGUGAUGAUAGUGUUGUCAAUUGACUUUAUCAGCUUACUGUCUACGUUUUUCCUAGUCUUUGUGAAUGCACUUUUCGUUUAACAAGUCAACAUCAAUUUCUUUUGUUGUAAAAGGUCAGAUGGAAGGUGGCUUCAGCUUUCGGUAGAAGUGUUUAUAGCCUUUUGCUUCUGCAGUCGGAGAGAUUGAGGUCUGCAGCGUAGACUCCUUCGGGGUUAGAUACAUUUGUGCUAAGUUAUAGCCUUUCAUAGACAACUUGUUGACUAUGUUUAGUCUUGUAGCUUACUCGCUAUGCCUAUUUUACCUACGCUUAGGAUGUUGAUAUGCAUGACUGAUAU